GAUGAAGAACGUAGCGAAAUGCGAUAAGUAGUGUGAAUCGCAGAAUUCAGUGAAUCAUCGAAUCUUUGAACGCACAUUGCGCCCUUUGGUAUUCCUUAGGGCAUGCCUGUUCGAGCGUCAUUUAAACCUUCAAGCUAAGCUUGGUGUUGGGUGACUGUCCGCUUCACUGCGGACUCGCCUCAAAAUUAUUGGCGGCCGGUACAUUGGCUUCGAGCGCAGCAGAAACGCGAACUCGGGCCCGUCGUAUUGGCUCCCAGAAGCUAUCUUCACAAUUUUGACCUCGGAUCAGGUAGGGAUACCCGCUGAACUUAAGCAUAUCAAUAAGCGGAGGA
rnacentral:misc_RNA from 1 species